rnacentral:rRNA from 1 species
GUGCCAGCAGCCGCGGUAAUACGAAGGGGGCAAGCGUUGCUCGGAAUCACUGGGCGUAAAGGGCGCGUAGGCGGGCGUCUAAGUCAGGGGUGAAAUCCCGAGGCUCAACCUCGGAAUUGCCUUUGAUACUGGAUGUCUCGAGACCGGAAGAGGUGAGUGGAACUGCGAGUGUAGAGGUGAAAUUCGUAGAUAUUCGCAAGAACACCAGUGGCGAAGGCGGCUCACUGGUCCGGUUCUGACGCUGAGGCGCGAAAGCGUGGGGAGCAAACAGGAUUAGAUACCCUGGUAGUCCACGCCGUAAACGAUGGAUGCUAGCCGUUGGCGAGCUUGCUCGUCAGUGGCGCAGCUAACGCUUUAAGCAUCCCGCCUGGGGAGUACGGUCGCAAGAUUAAA